AUGGAUCUAUUCAAAUCUGCUACAACAAUCAAAGGAACCAUGAAUCUUGGGGGUGACAGAAUUGUAACAUUGACACAGGCCUACAGUACAACAAGACCGGGCUACAGAGAUGGGCUCCUGGAUCACCUCAAGGUCAUCCUUGAUCGACCACCGCAUAUGUGGAAGCUGUGCAUCCCAGGACCCCUGUCAGCCCAGUGUGAGAGGCCUGACCUAUGCAUCCCAGGACCCCUGUCAGCCCAGUGUGAGAGGCCUGACCUAUGCAUCCCAGGACCCCUGUCAGCCCAGUGUGAGAGGCCUGACCUAUGCAUCCCAGGACCCCUGUCAGCCCAGUGUGAGAGGCUUGACCUAUGCAUCCCAGGACCCCUGUCGGCCCAGUGUGAGAGGCCUGACCUAUGCAUCCCAGGACGCCUGUCGGCCCAGUGUGAGAGGCCUGACCUAUGCAUCCCAGGACGCCUGUCGGCCCAGUGUGANNNNNNNNNNGCCCAGUGUGAGAGGCCUGACCUAUGCAUCCCAGGACCCCUGUCAGCCCAGUGUGAGAGGCCUGACCUAUGCAUCCCAGGACCCCUGUCAGCCCAGUGUGAGAGGCCUGACCUAUGCAUCCCAGGACCCCUGUCAGCCCAGUGUGAGAGGCUUGACCUAUGCAUCCCAGGACCCCUGUCGGCCCAGUGUGAGAGGCCUGACCUAUGCAUCCCAGGACGCCUGUCGGCCCAGUGUGAGAGGCCUGACCUAUGCAUCCCAGGACGCCUGUCGGCCCAGUGUGAGAGGUCUGACCUAUGCAUCCCAGGACCCCUGUUGGCCCAGUGUGAGAGGCCUGACAAGGAGGCGGGCAUAGCUAUUUGUCUCCCACGUCAAUCUUGAGGGUGACUGAAGCCUGCUUGAUUGAAGUGGGGUAUGCUGGUCCCCAUCAAUCUCUGUAGGUGGUUGAGUUUUCUAAAGUCAAAAUAAAUCACGUUUACGUGAUGACAUCACACUUUGUUGCUUUGUAUUGUUUCUUCAAGCAUUCGGACAGGAGAGCAGUGUUACAAAUUGUAUGAGUCAAAGGGUCCUGCACACUGUUGGGUGGCCGGGUGCCCAUAUAAGGCAUAUGGCUCUAAUAUAUUCCUUAAAUGUCAAAUGAUGUCUCAUCAUCAUUUAUGUUGAUCAAUAUUUCGGUUGUGCUGGCCUAAUUUGUAAAUGAUCAAAUAAAUGUCUGAUCAAUACAUACAAUUCCGAAUAUAUUGUUAUUUAUAAUGCUAAUGAAGAGGCACCAAAAAAUUGUCCAGUACACUCAUUCAUUAUAUGCUGUUUUCAUAUGUCUACGCUUCUAAGGUGUCUCGGGCUUUACUAAUUAUUGUAAAGAAAUGUAUUCUGUAAUUAGUUACAAAACAAUAGUCUGACUAAACUUCAUAUGGAGAAAAGGAAUGCUGUAUUCUAUUUUGGAAACAGACGACUUUGUUAUUGGACUAAUAUAUGCAUAAACACAGUGCAUCUGUACACCAAGAAUGAUAUGUAAAUGUGACACAUGUCAAGAACACGAGCCAGUUCUCUUGGCCAUGAGAGCAUUUUGCAGAGAAAAUGGGUUGUGAAUUACAAUUUAGGUAAGGAUUGUUUACCUUGUUACCAGGCGACGACCACAAGGGCGUUUUCAAAGAGCUCUCAUUCAAGGCGAGCUCAUGAAUAUAAGCUCUCCUCCCACUCAGCCUGUUCUUUCAGGCUUCCCGAUAGUUAGAGAUGAGAGAAGGUACAAUUUCUUCAAUUCUGAGCAUUAAUGGUGUAAAAAUAUUAUGGGGGAUGUUUUGGUCAUGCAAAGGCUAUUUUUGCUUGGGAAAUAGGAUGAUUUAGGAGAAAUUGUAGAAAUAGGCAGGGUUUAGGGUCGUCAUUAGUUGACACAAAGUCCUUUUUAAUACAAAAAAACAGACAAUGCUGACAUAAUUUCUGAUUUCUUAAAGAAAAUAGUGAGGUAAUAAACAAUAUCUUUAUAAAUGAUUGUAAAGCAAUAAAUAAUUUAAGACUAUAUACUGGAUACUGAGUUAUUAACAAAAGGAGCAAAGUUCACAGUACACAUGGAGAAAUGCCUGUAAAAUGACUAGCAUACAUCCAAAGUCAUGUUUAACAUGUGACUGGACAGCCUAUAUCCCAAGUCAUGUUUAACACAUGUGACUGGACAGCCUAUAUCCCAAGUCAUGUUUAACACGUGACUGGACAGCCUAUAUCCCAAGUCAUGUUUAAUACAUGUGACUGGACAGCCUAUAUCCCAAGUCAUGUUUAAUACAUGUGACUGGACAGCCUAUAUCCAAAGUCAUGUUUAACACACGUGACUGGACAGCCUGUAUCCCAAGUCAUGUUUAAUACAUGUGACUNNNNNNNNNNGCCCAGUGUGAGAGGCCUGACCUAUGCAUCCCAGGACCCCUGUCAGCCCAGUGUGAGAGGCCUGACCUAUGCAUCCCAGGACCCCUGUCAGCCCAGUGUGAGAGGCCUGACCUAUGCAUCCCAGGACCCCUGUCAGCCCAGUGUGAGAGGCUUGACCUAUGCAUCCCAGGACCCCUGUCGGCCCAGUGUGAGAGGCCUGACCUAUGCAUCCCAGGACGCCUGUCGGCCCAGUGUGAGAGGCCUGACCUAUGCAUCCCAGGACGCCUGUCGGCCCAGUGUGAG
rnacentral:lncRNA from 13 species